rnacentral:rRNA from 1 species
GUGUCAGCCGCCGCGGUAAGACAGAGGGGGCAAGCGUUGUCCGGACUGACUGGGCGUAAAGCGCGCGCAGGCGGAGGCGGGCGUCGGUGCGGAAAGGUCGCCGCUUAACGGCGGAGAGCGUACCGAUACGCCGCUUCUGGAGCGCGGGCGAGGGUGGUGGAAUUGCCGGUGUAGUGGUGAAAUGCGUAGAGAUCGGCAGGAACACCCGUGGCGCAAGCGGCCACCUAGCCCGUUGCUGACGCUGAGGCGCGACAGCGUGGGGAGCGAACUGGAUUAGAAACCCGUGUAGUCC